UACGAAGGGGGCUAGCGUUGCUCGGAAUCACUGGGCGUAAAGGGUGCGUAGGCGGGUCUUUAAGUCAGGGGUGAAAUCCUGGAGCUCAACUCCAGAACUGCCUUUGAUACUGAGAGGCUUGAGUCCGGGAGAGGUGAGUGGAACUGCGAGUGUAGAGGUGAAAUUCGUAGAUAUUCGCAAGAACACCAGUGGCGAAGGCGGCUCACUGGCCCGAUACUGACGCUGAUGCACGAAAGCGUGGGGAGCAAACAGG
rnacentral:rRNA from 1 species